CACCCCUGGUGACUUUAGUUCUGGGCUUUGACAGGCCUUUCAGCCAGCCUGCAUCUGGGCCAGGCCUGCAGCUCUGCCCACUGCUUGAGGAUUUGCAUGUGCCUAGAGCACAGUCUACUGCGCCAAGAAUUUCUUUAUAGUCUGCUCACACUCUGUGCAGGAGUCAGUUGCAGUCAGCAUACAGCAUGGACAUGAAGGCCCCUGCUCAGCUCCUGGGGCUCCUGCUGCUCUGGCUCCCAGGUUCCAGAUGUGACAUCCUAAUGACUCAGUCUCCAUCCUACUUGUCCGCGUCAGUAGGAGACAGAGUCUCCAUCACUUGCAGAGCCAGUCAGGGCAUUGGUACUAAUUUACAUUGGUAUCAGCAGAAACCAAGGAAAGGUCCUAAACUUUUGAUUUAUUGGGCAAACAGCUUGCAAACCGGGGUCCCAUCCAGAUUCAGUGGCAGUGUAUCUGGGGAAGAGUACACUCUCACCAUCAGCAGCCUUUAGCCUGAAGACUUUGCAACUUAUUACUGUCAACAAGGUAGUAGGUACCCUCCCACA